rnacentral:rRNA from 1 species
UGGGGAAUUUUGGACAAUGGGGGAAACCCUGAUCCAGCCAUCCCGCGUGUGCGAUGAAGGCCUUCGGGUUGUAAAGCACUUUUGGCAGGAAAGAAACGUCAUGGGUUAAUACCCCGUGAAACUGACGGUACCUGCAGAAUAAGCACCGGCUAACUACGUGCCAGCAGCCGCGGUAAUACGUAGGGUGCAAGCGUUAAUCGGAAUUACUGGGCGUAAAGCGUGCGCAGGCGGUUCGGAAAGAAAGAUGUGAAAUCCCAGAGCUCAACUUUGGAACUGCAUUUUUAACUACCGGGCUAGAGUGUGUCAGAGGGAGGUGGAAUUCCGCGUGUAGCAGUGAACUGCGUAGAUAUGCGGAGGAACACCGAUGGCGAAGGCAGCCUCCUGGGAUAACACUGACGCUCAUGCACGAAAGCGUGGGGAGCAAACAGG